UUAAGAAUUCAGAGCCAGUCAGUGG
rnacentral:piRNA from 1 species